rnacentral:rRNA from 1 species
AUUGAACGCUGGCGGCAUGCUUUACACAUGCAAGUCGAACGGCAGCGCGGAGAAGCUUGCUUCUCUGUCGGCGAGUGGCGAACGGGUGAGUAUAGCAUCGGAACGUGCCAAGUAGUGGGGGAUAACCAAACGAAAGUUUGGCUAAUACCGCGUAAGCUCUAAGGAGGAAAGUAGGGGACCUAAAUAAGGCCUUACGCUAUUUGAUCGGCCGAUGUCGGAUUAGCUAGUUGGUGGGGUAAUGGCUCACCAAGGCAAUGAUCCGUAGCGGGUCUGAGAGGACGAUCCGCCACACUGGGACUGAGACACGGCCCAGACUCCUACGGGAGGCAGCAGUGGGGAAUUUUGGACAAUGGGGGAAACCCUGAUCCAGCCAUGCCGCGUGUAUGAAGAAGGCCUUAGGGUUGUAAAGUACUUUUGUUAGGGAAGAAAAGCUAGUUUUUAAUAAAAAUUAGUGAUGACGGUACCUAAAGAAUAAGCCCCGGCUAACUACGUG